UACAGAGGGUGCUAGCGUUGUUCGGAAUCAUUGGGCGUAAAGGGCGUGUAGGCGGUUUGUUAAGUCAUGUGUGAAAUCCCUCGGCUCAACCGGGGAACGACGCAUGAAACUGGCAAUCUCGAGUCCGGGAGAGGUGAGUGGAACUGCGAGUGUAGAGGUGAAAUUCGUAGAUAUUCGCAAGAACACCAGUGGCGAAGGCGGCUCACUGGCCCGGUACUGACGCUGAGGUGCGAAAGCGUGGGAGCAAACAGG
rnacentral:rRNA from 1 species